rnacentral:rRNA from 1 species
AUACGGAGGGGGCAAGCGUUGUUCGGAAUUACUGGGCGUAAAGGGCGCGUAGGCGGAUUGGUUAGUCAGAUGUGAAAUCCCCGAGCUUAACUUGGGAACUGCAUUUGAUACUGCUGAUCUAGAGACCGGGAGAGGAUAGUGGAAUUCCCAGUGUAGAGGUGAAAUUCGUAGAUAUUGGGAAGAACACCAGUGGCGAAGGCGGCUAUCUGGACCGGUACUGACGCUGAGGCGCGAAAGCGUGGGGAGCAAACAGGAUUAGAAACCCCAGUAGUCC